GUGAACGCUGGCGGCGUGCCUAAUACAUGCAAGUCGAGCGAACGGACGAGAAGCUUGCUUUUCUGAUGUUAGCGGCGGACGGGUGAGUAACACGUGGAUAACCUACCUAUAAGACUGGGAUAACUUCGGGAAACCGGAGCUAAUACCGGAUAAUAUUUUGAACCGCAUGGUUCAAAAGUGAAAGACGGUCUUGCUGUCACUUAUAGAUGGAUCCGCGCUGCAUUAGCUAGUUGGUAAGGUAACGGCUUACCAAGGCAACGAUGCAUAGCCGACCUGAGAGGGUGAUCGGCCACACUGGAACUGAGACACGGUCCAGACUCCUACGGGAGGCAGCAGUAGGGAAUCUUCCGCAAUGGGCGAAAGCCUGACGGAGCAACGCCGCGUGAGUGAUGAAGGUCUUCGGAUCGUAAAACUCUGUUAUUAGGGAAGAACAUAUGUGUAAGUAACUGUGCACAUCUUGACGGUACCUAAUCAGAAAGCCACGGCUAACUACGUG
rnacentral:rRNA from 1 species